AUUGAACGCUGGCGGCGUGCUUAACACAUGCAAGUCGAUCGGUAACGCGGGGGCAACCCUGGCGACGAGAGGCGGACGGGUGAGGAACGCUUGGGAAUCUGCCCAUCAGCGGGGGACAACCCGGGGAAACUCGGGCUAAUACCGCAUACGCUCUACGGAGGAAAGCCGGGGACCGCAAGGCCUGGCACUGAUGGAUGAGCCCAAGUCGGAUUAGCUAGUUGGCGGGGUAACGGCCCACCAAGGCGACGAUCCGUAGCUGGUCUGAGAGGACGAUCAGCCACACUGGGACUGAGACACGGCCCAGACUCCUACGGGAGGCAGCAGUGGGGAAUAUUGGACAAUGGGGGCAACCCUGAUCCAGCGACGCCGCGUGGGUGAAGAAGGCCUGCGGGUUGUAAAGCCCUUUCGAUGGGGACGAAAGCUUCCGGCCUAACACGUCGGGAGUCUGACUUAACCCAUAUAAGAAGCACCGGCUAACUCUGUGCCAGCCGCCGCAGUAAGAC
rnacentral:rRNA from 1 species